rnacentral:rRNA from 1 species
AACGAACGCUGGCGGCGUGGAUUAGGCAUGCAAGUCGAACGCGAAAGAGGGGGUAACUCCUCGAGUAGAGUGGCGAACGGGUGAGUAACACGUGAGAAACCUGCCUUCAGCAGGGGGAGUAACACUCCCAACGGGGUGCUAAUACCGCAUGAGACCACGGAUUCGCAUGGAUCUGGGGUCAAAGGUGGCCUCUGCUUGCAAGCUACCGGCUGAAGAUGGUCUCGCGCCCAUUAGCUAGUUGGUGGGGUAAUGGCCCACCAAGGCGACGAUGGGUAGCUGGUCUGAGAGGAUGGUCAGCCACACUGGGACUGAGAUACGGCCCAGACUCCUACGGGAGGCAGCAGUCGAGAGGCUUUGGCAAUGGGGAAACCCUGACCAAGCGACGCCGCGUGGGGGAUGAA